ensembl:snRNA U6 U6 spliceosomal RNA
GUGCUCGCUUUGGCAGCACAUAUACUAAAAUUGGAAAUAUACAGAGAGGAUUAGCAUGGCCUCUGGGCAAGGAUGACAUGCAAAUUCAUGAAGAAUUCCAAAAAGAU